rnacentral:rRNA from 1 species
UGGGGAAUAUUGGACAAAUGGGCGCAAGCSUGAUCCAGCAAUGCCGCGUGUGUGAAGAAGGCCUUCGGGUUGUAAAGCACUUUUAUCAGGAACGAAAUACCAUUGGUUAAUAACCGGUGGGGCUGACGGUACCUGAGGAAUAAGCACCGGCUAACUUCGUGCCAGCAGCCGCGGUAAUACGAAGGGUGCAAGCGUUAAUCGGAAUUACUGGGCGUAAAGGGUGCGUAGGCGGUUUGUUAAGUCUGUUGUGAAAUCCCCGGGCUCAACCUGGGAAUGGCAAUGGAUACWGGCAAGCUAGAGUGUGUCAGAGGAUGGUGGAAUUCCCGGUGUAGCGGUGAAAUGCGUAGAGAUCGGGAGGAACAUCASUGGCGAAGGCGGCCAUCUGGGACAACACUGACGCUGAAGCACGAAAGCGUGGGGAGCAAACAGGAUUAGAUACCCUGGUAGUCCACGCCCUAAACGAUGCGAACUGGAUGUUGGUCUCAACUCGGAGAUCAGUGUCGMAGCUAACGC